CGUGCAGAUCAGGAAGUGAGCCAUCAAGUAGCAGUGUUUCUGAAGUCGAUGCCCUGGGGUGCAGUCUCUGGCUCUGAGAGGACCCACGGUUCGCUGUGGCUAUGACCCCCCCCUGAUUACGGACCCCCCACUCAUCUGGACUCGCGGCCUCGCCAUGGGCACCCGGCUAAAAGAAAAUCCAGAGAGAACCUUCAACUGGUUCUUUGAGGCCUCCUGUCCCAUCGCCAAGGACAAAGAUCCCCUGGUUUUGUUCCAGUUUCCUGAGGACUACAGCGAUGAGGUGCAUCAUCACACUUACCUCAGAACCCUUUACCCGUCACAGGCAUGAG